CUAACACAGACCUUUGAAGGAUGCAUGUAUGCCUUGUUGGGUUGUCUUACGAUGCUUUCUGAAAAAGUCACUUUCGUUAAGAAAAGGCGAAAAAGGACACCAUUAAAAAAAAAACUAAAGGAAAAGGUACUUAGCAACAAAAGAAAAUGUCAGCACCCAAAAAGAAGUUGAUGAGGAUAUUGAGCCUAUUGCAAAGAGGAUGCGCCACUUGAAUCAAGCUAAUCGCAGGCAUGGUAAGACGAAGAAGGAGGUUGACAAAAUCAUUCAUCAAAACAAUAAUACAGAUAAAAAAGACAACAGAUCCAAUAAUGUCAACAAACAUGCGUUGCUAGAUGAAUCACAGUUGAAACCAAUGAAGUGACUAAUCAACAAGAAAAGUAUGCGUAGCUUUAGGAUAUGAUAG